rnacentral:lncRNA from 1 species
UCUAUACUUCACCUUUGUUCCAGAGUUUUUCAUAAGUUUUCAAAAUAAAGCUCAGAGUUCCCAGCAAUGAUCUCUCAAGUCUCUCUAUAUGUGGUUUUUGUGGAUCCUUACCAUAAUGUCACUUACAUAUAGCUAAUGAAAUAUUUAAGUGGAGCUCAUAGGAGUGAAAAACAGCUCAUACAUAUGUUGUCUAAUCGAGCCAUGGAUCCAAAGGAACUCAGCAUAUAAUUAAAUUAAGAUGUGCAUGUGUGAUGGAGUAAAUGAUAGUGAUGGUGAAAAUUUAUAAGUGAUAAUAAAACUUAGUUCUCAUUGCUCCUCAUAUUGCUAUCUCUCCUCUCCUCUAAUCUUUGCCUUGGGAGAACAUGGGCUAUCUUUUUCUCUUUUCUCUUUUUUUAGGUGGGUAGUAGAUACCCCUAAUUCUACUGUCGGACACUUGUCCAUUUUUUCCGCUCAAGUGGGCAUCUUUGUACCCCUAAUUCUACUUCGGACACUUGUCCAUUUUUACCUCUCGUCUCACUCUUUUUCUUUAUUUUUCGAGGUUCCGGGCACUUGCCCCUUUUUAUUUCCUCGCAUAUUUUUGCAUAACCCAUGCCUCUUCUGCAUUGAAUCUUUUUAGAGAAAGAGAAUAACAAUAUUCGGGACAGUGAGUGAUAAUAUUUUUAGCAAUUUUAAUGAUUGGUGAUGAAUGGUGUAUUAGAUGUGUGCAAGUGAAUAUCUUAAUUUAACCACAUGAAAAGCUCCUAAGGGUCUACACAGCUCGAUCAAACUC